UACGUAGGGGGCUAGCGUUGUCCGGAAUCAUUGGGCGUAAAGCGCGUGUAGGCGGUCCGGUAAGUCCGCUGUGAAAGUCGGGGGCUCAACCCUCGAAUGCCGGUGGAUACUGUCGGGCUAGAGUGCGGAAGAGGUGAGUGGAACUCCGAGUGUAGAGGUGAAAUUCGUAGAUAUCGGAAGGAACAUCAGUGGCGAAAGCGGCUUCCUGGACCAGAACUGACGAUCAGGCUCGAAAGCGUGGGGAGCAAACAGG
rnacentral:rRNA from 1 species